rnacentral:rRNA from 1 species
UACGUAGGGCGCGAGCGUUGUCCGGAAUUAUUGGGCGUAAAGAGCUCGUAGGCGGCCCGUUACGUCUGCUGUGAAAUCCCGGGGCUUAACCCCGGGCGUGCAGUGGAUACGGGCAGGCUGGAGGCAGGCAGGGGAGAACGGAAUUCCCGGUGUAGCGGUGAAAUGCGCAGAUAUCGGGAAGAACACCCGUGGCGAAGGCGGCUCUCUGGAACGCAACUGACGCUGAGACGCGAAAGCGUGGGGAGCAAACAGG